rnacentral:rRNA from 1 species
CCUACGGGCGGCAGCAGUGGGGAAUAUUGGACAAUGGGCGAAAGCCUGAUCCAGCCAUGCCGCGUGUGUGAAGAAGGCCUUCGGGUUGUAAAGCACUUUCAGUGGGGAAGAAAGCCUUGGGGCUAAUACCCUCGAGGAAGGACAUCACCCACAGAAGAAGCACCGGCUAACUCCGUGCCAGCAGCCGCGGUAAUACGGAGGGGUGCGAGCGUUAAUCGGAAUUACUGGGCGUAAAGCGCGCGUAGGCGGUCUGAUAAGCCGGUUGUGAAAGCCCCGGGCUCAACCUGGGAACGGCAUCCGGAACUGUCAGGCUAGAGUGCAGGAGAGGAAGGUAGAAUUCCCGGUGUAGCGGUGAAAUGCGUAGAGAUCGGGAGGAAUACCAGUGGCGAAGGCGGCCUUCUGGACUGACACUGACGCUGAGGUGCGAAAGCGUGGGUAGCAAACAGGAUUAGAUACCCGAGUAGUC